CCAGCUGCCCCGGCGGACUUGGGCUCGGGCGGGGACGGGCCCAGGGACGUCCUGGGGGGAGGGAUGUGUGUGUGUGUGUGUGUGUGUGUCCACGAAGGUCGACCAGCUGCCCCGGCGGACUUGGGCGCCGCACAGUGCAAGCGCUGGUGCGUUUUUUUUCCAAGGAAAACAUGAGGCGGGUUUUUUUUUUUUCUUCUUAAUUUAUGGAGGGAGGGAGGGAGGGAGGGGGGAGGGGGGAGGACGAACAGAAGAGCAGAGUCUCUCCCAUGCACUGGUUCUCUCCUGCUCCCCGAAUGACCUCACCAGUCGCCCCUGGGCCGCACCUUCUGUCCUCGCGCGUCAGAACGAUGCUCCGGGCAAGCUCCAAGGACACCGCAGGCGGGAGGGACCGCGGCACCACAUGCCACCACACCACACCGGAGGAAGCUGCCUUUUUGAGUGAGUCCUUUGGCCGCGUGCGGUGUUGGAGGAAGGCGUGUCUUCCCUGCUUCAACCCCCACCCCGCCUCCUUCCUUCCUUCCUUCCUCCCUCCCUCCCUCCCUCCCUCACUGCUCCACCCCCACCUCCCUGCGUUCCCCCCCCCACACCUUGCUUCUCCUGGAUACCCCUUCCACAGCACCUACCCUUAUCACACAGUCAGUCAAUAAAGCUUUCCUCUGAGCAAAUCCCGCCUGAGGCUGA